rnacentral:rRNA from 1 species
UCGGAUUGCAGGCUGCAACCCGCCUGCAUGAAGUUGGAAUCGCUAGUAAUCGCGGAUCAGCAUGCCGCGGUGAAUACGUUCCCGGGCCUUGUACACACCGCCCGUCACACCAUGAGAGUCGGGAACACCCGAAGUCCGUAGCCUGACCGCAAGGGAGGCGCGGCCGAAGGUGGGUUCGAUAAUUGGGGUGAAGUCGUAACAAGGUACC